rnacentral:rRNA from 1 species
UACGGAGGGUGCAAGCGUUAUCCGGAUUCACUGGGUUUAAAGGGUGCGCAGGUGGAGUGGUAAGUCAGUGGUGAAAUCUCCAAGCUUAACUUGGAAACUGCCGUUGAUACUAUCAUUCUUGAAUAUCGUGGAGGUAAGCGGAAUAUGUCAUGUAGCGGUGAAAUGCUUAGAUAUGACAUAGAACACCGAUUGCGAAGGCAGCUUGCUACACGAUCAUUGACACUGAGGCACGAAAGCGUGGGGAUCAAACAGG